UACGUAGGGUGCGAGCGUUAAUCGGAAUUACUGGGCGUAAAGUGUGCGCAGGCGGCCGAGCAAGUCGAGUGUGAAAGCCCCGAGCUUAACUUGGGAAUUGCGCUCGAAACUACUUGGCUGGAGUGUGGCAGAGGAAGGUGGAAUUCCAGGUGUAGCGGUGAAAUGCGCAGAUAUCGGGAGGAACACCAGUAGCGAAGGCGGCUCGCUGGGCCAUACCUGACGCUGAGACGCGAAAGCGUGGGGAGCGAACAGG
rnacentral:rRNA from 1 species